GGAAGCUUCUAAAUAGUGAGUUGAUGUGCAUGGUGUCUUUGAAAUGAGGAUUCAGCAAUUUGUAGACUGGAUGCAUAACACUCAACUGUCUGCGAGUGGCAAUGAUGAACGGCUCGACAACUGCAUGGUAGGUGAGGGGUCUCACCAAUGGCUGACGAGUUGAUGGUAGACGGAGUCGUUGGCAGCGACGUGAGCUUUGGCAAGCUGCCACAGGGCAGCCUCCAAGCCCUCAGGUGCUGGCAGGUUUAGAGAGGAGCAACAUAAAGGAAGAGAUGAUAUAUAUAUGUAUAUAUAUACAUAUAUUACCUGUUGAAGGGGAAGACCAUCGAGGUUGUGUUCAAUAUCAGAAGCUUUUAUUGUACUAACCACU